UGAUGAGCGGGAGCAGGAGAUAAGAGAAGGGAGGGACGGGGAGGUAUGGAAGGAGAGAUGUGGGAGGAAUAUGAGGUGAGGAGACAGAGGGGAAGCCCUAUGGAGGGCACAAGGGGAGGUGGAAGAGGAAGUUGAACAUCGGACAGAACCUUGGGCUGACCAGAUCCUCCUCCCGCUCGUCACCUCCUGCCAGUAUUUAAACCCGGGUCCUGCAGUCCCCGGUAGUCUGUCUUCUACCCUGGUUCAGGUCCUUUCAGAUACGCCCUGUGUUGUUCCACGGAGAUCACCAGUCGACGAAUGAGGAUGUGACGGAGGUGCAGGUUACAGCCCGAGUGGAAGGAACGAGAGCGGCCUCCUCACCGCCGGGACGUACGUGGUAGAUCAUGGGCUUGUGUGAGAGUUUUUGUCGUGCGGUGACAGCCGGUUUCAAAUGAACUGGAGGGAAACCAGAGACGAGGUCAACAAAUGGGCUCAAUGGAUCAGGUUGAUUUGGUCAGUGUUUCCACUCACACCUCACCGUUCCUCGACAGACUGAGCUGAACAACCAAGAAUCCCUCACCAGCCACCUCGAGUCCCUUCAUCUACAGGUUUGUAGACAGGAGAAGAAAGCUGGCAACAAUUCGAUAUGUUGAUGAUGAUAAUAAAGAUAAUUAAAGCUGCAAGCAGAGAUGAACGGGCCUUCGCCUCCCCUUGCAUGUCGGGGGCGGCAGCGCUCAGCCAGACAUGACGUCAGAACAAGGAAAAGAAAAUAGAGGCAAUAUUCACUCACAAAACCUUCCUCUUCAUUUUAGAAUACGGUUGACUUUUUUAGUAGAGCAUGUCCAAGAACAUCUGUGUGCAAAAUUUCACGUCAAUCGGUGAAACUGGGCAAAAACUUUGCACUUAACUACUUUAAUAUGAUAAAGACCUCAAAAGUGCGAUUGAAGUGGUGAAAGAAAUAGAAUAAUUCUUCGAAAACACAAUAGGGCUUCGCCGGACCUUCAGUCGGCUCAGACCCUAAUGAAGAUAUCCUUCAUUUCAUAUAAGUGUAAAACACCUGAAUGACAUAAUUCGGAGGUUUAGCUCAGUGCAGCGGCGGCCUGUGGGCUCCAUAGCGUAGGCUUAUGUAACCUUUGUGCCAUUAUGCCGUGAUGCCCGGCUUACGGAAAGCACGUGUGCAGAAGUCGAUACCCAUAAGGCUGUGAUGAUUGCGAGGGAUCUUUGCAGGUAUGUGUUCACAAGGAUUAUGCAAAUGAGGUCCCGCUUAGCAGAUGAGGAUGCGGGAUCCUAGGGAGGAACGUGCUCUAUAUGGGACAAGAAGCUCAGGGCGGAAGCUGUAAACAAAGAGACAUCAAAGUAGGACACAAUGAGAAACACCCACAGGUCAUAUUUGCCUCCACUUACAGUUUCCUGUUUCUACCUAUUCCUCUUGCAUAACCCUCGUGUUUUGUUUUGAGAUACCGGGCCUGGAUGUACAUGGUGCAGGACAGUGUCCCACUAGAUUUGGGAUUGGUCUUUAGAGGGCUUUCCUCCCCUCCUGUGUACAUGCAGAUAUAAGCAGUAUAUGUGUGUACACAGGUGCACGUCAGGUUCAUGGGAGACUCCAGUCGCAUUAGCUUUGUUGGAUUAAGCUGCAAAGAUGUUUAUUUUCUAAAGCAAUGAAAGAGUGAAUUAAUGAAUUAUAGUACACAAUGAAAAGAAAAGAACAGAUCAGUGAACAGAUGAGAAAAUCUCAUGUUUAUAUACUGAAGAAAGAAUAUCACAUUUUAAAUGUGGUAUCUCUUUCUCACCCUAUCACACUCUUCUUGGCUUUUGGCAAAGAAAAACACACUUAAUAUUGAUUAUGCAAAGCAUGUCAAACACACAGAAUGCUUUUGAUGGUAGAAUUGAUGCUACUAACCUCACUGCGAAGCAUGUUCGUGGUCGUUCUAAAAGUAGAGAACUGGCCAAUUGCAAUCAAGCACAUUUGAGUGUGCAUUUUUUUUAAACGGUGCUUGAAGAUGCGCUCACACUCACACAUCCACAAAAAGGAACAGGGUCUCAUUAUAUCUUAGUUGUGCCCUGCGGCAGGGUGAGUAUUUACACAGUUAUUCAGAGGAGUGACUGUGUUCGACCGCGAGCAAAUUAGUUUGCACCCUGAGGGCUCAGUCGAUGGCAGCCUCAGGAGCUCUGUGUGUGCCUGUGAGUGUCUCUGUGCAGAUCAUUACAUUGUAACCGAAUCUGUGUCCGUGUUGACUGGAGGCGGAGGACAUCCCACAUGCCCCUAUGCAAAAUAAAUGGAGAACUUAUUAAAGGGCAAAGGUCGCCAAUGUGUCAGCAGCGUGUAUCAAGUUUACCUGCUUGUGUUCCUCCGCCUCCUCUGCGCUCUCUCUUCAGUCCAACAUCAACUUAUAUACACUUGCCUCUUUACAUUCCCCCUCUCCUCUCGCUCUCGCUGUGUACGUACUGUUGCAGCUGUUGCUCUUUUUAACUUCAGUAGGCCCGUUGGCUGCUGGUGAUAAAUUGGACACUGGGUGUAAAUAGAUGUUCUGUUUUCAUGGGAGGGUUUUCCCUGACUUGGAGACACCGCAGCUGAUUACAAUACUCACUUUCUACGAAACACAGCAGGUGUUAGCAAGGCCAGAGUUAAGACAAACAGUACACAGAUACAGCUGUCUGUGCUUACGGACUGGAAGACUUUGACAACAUGCUGAAUUGUGAGAAAUGCACAUGAAUGAUUGUUGCCUUUUCCACAUAUGCAGUAACCAAUAGGGUUAAGCAGAACCUGUUCCUUCUUUAUGCUCUCGCUGUGACACAGACUCAUGUGAAAGGUGUAGGGGCCGUCAUUGGGAAACAAAUCUAAAGUGCAAAUGAAGUUCAGUGUCAAGAAGAAAUAUUAUUAAAUAUUGUAACCGAUAUUCUCACCUCUCAUUUUCCUCAGCAGCACCUUACCGACUCUUUCGUUGGUGCCACCAACCGGCAGACAAAGGCCUAUGGACAGAGCAGUAGCUGUUCAAAUAUUUCUGUGGUUUAAUGGUCAGAAGCAUUAUACUAACAUUGGAUUGACGCUUCAAACAGAACAUAUAGAAAUACCUUUGUUAAGCCAGACAGUCAGCACACACCUUUUAUUGGUCCUUUAGAUGGAACAGGAAAGGCUGCAUCACGGUGAAAAGCAUGUUAUUAACAGCGUUUGUCGCGGUUUUAAUGCGAUGUUGGGCCAACGAAAAAAACUAUGUUUAAAAACAUGAAUUGAUCUUCAGAAACAGAAUGAAAUAGCAUGAUAUCCAGGGUUUAUUAAUCCAUUCGGAACACAUAAGCAGACUAAUCCACAACGUGUUUCUGUUUACAUACUUCCUGGAUCCUGAUUGGUGGAACGCUGCAGCACCAAGGCACUGAUUGGAGGGUCACAGACCGUAAUACAGCGCAGAUGAACAUGAUUCAGCUUAUAGAGUGCAUAUGUUUAAUGAUAUGAAUCUAAGUCUUAACCUCUAUGGAUGAGUAGUAAAGAAAAUGACUGGAUUAAGAAACUAGACAAUGACCGCAUGAGUUUUGUGCACUUUAAUUACCAAAUAUUCGUUAUUCGGUAACGGUCCACAGAAGAGGUCUGUGGAAAGGUUAUAACAUUUCUUAAUACGAUAUACCAGAACAAGGUAGAGGGUGUGACUAAAACAAUGAGUAGGUGUCUGUACAUCGAAAGAAGCCAAUCAAAUUUAAGAGUGAGGUAAAUGCAGUGCCAUGGCUAUUAUUUUUGAUAAUCCACAUGCAUAUUCAAAUCACCCACAAUCAUUUCUUUAUCUGCUUUCAGGACUAAACAUGACAAAAACUUCAGUUAGAAAUUCAAAACACAGAUAUGAAUGAAAAUAAUAUAAAUAAAUAACCGGGACAGCAGAUUUCUAUUUUCCAGUCUUCGUUCAUAGUAGAUGGCGUAGAAUGGCAGCUUUGUUUUUUGUUAGGUUUUGACAUAUCUUCCAGUAAAAAAUUAUAUACAAAGGAUUAUUAAAAGGGGUAAAUCAAGGCCUAUCAUGGGACGGUAUCUGUCAAACAUUACUGUGUUUUCCCCAUUUCUCUAGCUUUAUGUCACAAAAUUUAUAAUUGCAACAUUUCUUGAGUUUUAUGAUCAGAUACAUUUUCAAACAAUUGUCAUAAGAAGAGUUCCAUCUCAACAAGCACUGACUUUCUGAAGAGCCAGCCAAUCAGGGCUGAUCAGCUACUCCUGUGACA
ensembl:lncRNA